GACAGAGGAUGCAAGCGUUAUCCGGAAUUAUUGGGCGUAAAGCGUCUGUAGGUGGCUUUUCAAGUCCGCCGUGAAAUCCCAGGGCUCAACCCUGGACAGGCGGUGGAAACUACCAAGCUGGAGUACGGUAGGGGCAGAGGGAAUUUCCGGUGGAGCGGUGAAAUGCAUUGAGAUCGGGAAGAACACCAACGGCGAAAGCACUCUGCUGGGCCGACACUGACACUGAGAGACGAAAGCUAGGGGAGCAAAUGGG
rnacentral:rRNA from 1 species